AAAAAAAGCAAAAAACAAAUUUUACAACCGUUGGCCAAUCUGACUGAGUCGGGUACAUAUUGUCACUUUCUCGGAUGCGGAAUCAAUCUACAACGCCUUGACCUGGAAAAAGUAGAAUCGAAGGUUCCAGGUCGCACAAAUUUAAUCAAACAUCUCGUUCCCUGAUGCCGCUUGAGGAAGACGCCAAACAAUUCCAGCACUGGAGGCCGGAGUAUGCGGAAUCGAUCCAGAGGAACUGGCAAUACAGCUCCGAGUAGGGAUCCAUGCAUGAGGUAACGGGUGAAGUGCAUAUCAGUACCACAAAUUGAAAACUGAUCGGAUCAAGAGGCAUCAGCCUGCCUAUACAUCUGGAUUCAUCAGCAACGGUUUGUUUUUGCGGAAGUCGGAGGUGCUUUUAAAUAUCACUAGAUUUAUUUUUAAUGACUGCACUGCCGUGUACAGCGUAGGUGUCCCAUGUUAAUAGGGAACAUGCGACUGUUAUGCUGCACACGGUAGUGCAAUAAGGUAAAAUAUCCAUCCAGAACAACACGUAUUAAUGGAGAGGAAGGGGUUUCACAUUUUAUAGUUAUUGUACUUGCUUUAUGAAAUAUAAUUUUUCUAGACGUA